UACGUAGGGGGCAAGCGUUGUCCGGAUUUAUUGGGCGUAAAGAGCGUGUAGGCGGCCAGGUAGGUCUGCUGUGAAAACUCGAGGCUUAACCUCGAGCUGUCGGCGGAAACCAUCUGGCUAGAGUCCGGAAGAGGAGAAUGGAAUUCCCGGUGUAGCGGUGAAAUGCGCAGAUAUCGGGAAGAACACCCGUGGCGAAGGCGGUUCUCUGGGACGGUACUGACGCUGAGAAGCGAAAGCAUGGGGAGCGAACAGG
rnacentral:rRNA from 1 species